UACAGAGGUGGCAAGCGUUGUUCGGAAUUACUGGGCGUAAAGGGCGCGUAGGCGGUUCGAUAAGUCCCGUGUGAAAUCCCUCGGCUCAACUGAGGAACUGCACGGGAAACUGACGGGCUUGAGUUCGGGAGAGGGAAGCGGAAUUCCGGGCGUAGCGGUGAAAUGCGUAGAUAUCCGGAGGAACACCGGUGGCGAAGGCGGCCUCCUGGACCGACACUGACGCUGAGGCGCGAAAGCUAGGGGAGCAAACGGG
rnacentral:rRNA from 1 species